rnacentral:rRNA from 1 species
AGUAACACGUGAGUGACCUGCCUCUUAGACUGGAACAACUUACCGAAAGGUGAGCUAAUGCCGGAUGAGUUAUAUAAGUGCAUGUUUAUAUAGGAAAAGUUGGGGAGACCUGACGCUGAAAGAUGGACUCGCGUCCCAUUAGCUAGUUGGUAGGGUAAUGGCCUACCAAGGCGACGAUGGGUAGCCGGCCUGAGAGGGUGGCCGGCCACACUGGGACUGAGACACGGCCCAGACUCCUACGGAAGGCAGCAG